GAUGAACGCUAGCGGGAGGCUUAACACAUGCAAGUCGAGGGGCAUCACGAGGUAGCAAUACUUUGGUGGCGACCGGCGCACGGGUGAGUAACGCGUAUGCAACCUACCCUGUACAGGGGGAUAGCCCGGAGAAAUUCGGAUUAAUACCCCAUAAUGAUAUUUUAUGGCAUCAUAAAAUAUUUAAAGCUCAGGCGGUACGGGAUGGGCAUGCGUAACAUUAGCUAGUUGGUAGGGUAAUGGCCUACCAAGGCGACGAUGUUUAGGGGUCCUGAGAGGGUGAUCCCCCACACUGGUACUGAGACACGGACCAGACUCCUACGGGAGGCAGCAGUGAGGAAUAUUGGUCAAUGGGCGCGAGCCUGAACCAGCCAUCCCGCGUGAAGGAAGACUGCCCUAUGGGUUGUAAACUUCUUUUCCAGGGGAAUAAAAUCUCGAACGAGUUCGGGACUGAAGGUACCCUGGGAAUAAGCAUCGGCUAACUCCGUGCCAGCAGCCGCAGUAAAAC
rnacentral:rRNA from 1 species